GAAGCAGUAGCUCAGGUGGUUAGAGCAAAGAUUUAAAGUUUUAACAUUACCGUUAUGGUCAAUUAGAACUUACUUCUAAAGGGAUUCUUAGGUCGUUGGUUCGAGUCCAACCUGCUUCA
rnacentral:tRNA from 1 species